rnacentral:tRNA from 1 species
GUUUUUAUAGUUUAUUUAAAACAUUGGUCUUGUAAAUCAAAAAUAAUAUUUUAUUUAAAAACU